GACGAACGCUGGCGGCGUGCUUAACACAUGCAAGUCGAACGGAAAGGCCCUGCUUGUGUGGGGUGCUCGAGUGGCGAACGGGUGAGUAACACGUGAGUAACCUGCCCUUGACUUUGGUAUAACUUCAGGAAACUGGGGCUAAUACCGUAUAGGAUCUCCUGCUGCAUGGUGGGGGUUGGAAAGUUUCGGCGGGUGGGGAUGGACUCGCGGCUUAUCAGCUUGUUGGUGGGCGAGUGGCUUACCAAGGCGUUGACGGGUAGCCGGCCUGAGAGGGUGACCGGCCACAUUGGGACUGAGAUACGGCGCAGACGCCUACGGGAGGCAGCAGUGGGGAAUAUUGUACAAUGGGAGGAAGCCGGAUGCAGCAACGCCGCGUGUGGGAUGACGGUCUUCGGGUUGUAAAACGCUUUAGCCUGUGACGAAGCGUGAGUGACGGUAAUGGGUAAAGAAGCACCGGCUAACUACGUG
rnacentral:rRNA from 1 species